GUGGCGAAUGGGAGGAUGCGGAAAAAUACUAUUCACUCUUUUACUGGUGGGGAUGUGGUGAUUGAGGGGACAAACAACCUUUUGGCUCACCCCAUAGCCUAUUAUAAAGAGUUGUUCGGCCCUGCUAGGGGAAAUUUAUUCCAUCUCUCUCCUAGUACUUGGUCUGAGAGUGAAAAACUUACUGACGACGAUAAUAUUCUUCUUACUAGUAAGUUCACGAAAGAGGAAGUAAAAAAUUCUCUAUUUGGUAUGGACAAUAAUAGAGCUCCGGGUCCAGAUAAUAUCCCAGUUGAAUUCUAUAAGCACUGUUGGGACUUUGUUUAA
rnacentral:rRNA from 1 species